rnacentral:rRNA from 1 species
GACGAACGCUGGCGGCGUGCUUAACACAUGCAAGUGGAGCGACGAACCAGGCUUCGGCCUGGGGCAGAGCCGCGAACGGGUGAGUAACACGUGGGUAACCUGCCCCGAUGACUGGGACAACCCGAGGAAACUCGGGCUAAUACCGGAUGUGCUGCUCUCGCUCAAGUGAGAGUAGGAAAGGAAGCUUCGGCCUCCGCAUCGGGAUGGGCCCGCGGCCCAUUAGCUGUUGGUGAGGUAACGGCUCACCAAGGCUUCGAUGGGUAGCUGGUCUGAGAGGACGAUCAGCCACACUGGGACUGAGACACGGCCCAGACUCCUACGGGAGGCAGCAGUGGGGAAUAUUGCGCAAUGGGCGAAAGCCUGACGCAGCGACGCCGCGUGUGGGAUGACGGCC